GGACAUGGUGUAGUGGUUUGAGCACUGGACUAACACUCUGGAGAUCAGGGUUUGAUUCCCUGCUCUCCC